AUUGAACGCUGGCGGCAGGCCUAACACAUGCAAGUCGAGCGGAUGAAGGGAGCUUUCUCCUGGCUUCAGCUGCGGACGGGUGAGUAAUUCCUAGGAAUCUGCCUGGUAGAUGGGGAUAACGUCCGUAAACGGGCGCUAAUACCGCAUACGUCCUGAGGUUGAACGUGAGGGAUCUUCGGACCUCACGCGAUCAGAUGAGCCUGGUUCGGAUUAGCUAGUUGGUGUGGUAAAGGCCUACCAAGGCGACGAUCCGUAACUGGUCUGAGAGGAUGAUCAGUCACACUGGAACUGAGACACGGUCCAGACUCCUACGGGAGGCAGCAGUAGGGAAUCUUGGACAAUGGGCGAAAGCCUGAUCGAGCCAUGCCGCGUGUGUGAUGAAGGUCUUCGGAUUGUAAAGCUCUUUAAGUUGGGAGGAAGGGCAGUAAGUUAAUCCCUUGAUGUUUUGACGUUACCAACAGAAUAAGCACCGGCUAACUUCGUG
rnacentral:rRNA from 1 species